rnacentral:rRNA from 1 species
GACGAACGCUGGCGGCGUGCUUAACACAUGCAAGUCGAACGGAAAGGCCCUGCUUUUGUGGGGUGCUCGAGUGGCGAACGGGUGAGUAACACGUGAGUAACCUGCCCUUGACUUUGGGAUAACUUCAGGAAACUGGGGCUAAUACCGGAUAGGAGCUCCUGCUGCAUGGUGGGGGUUGGAAAGAUUCGGCGGUUGGGGAUGGACUCGCGGCUUAUCAGCUUGUUGGUGGGGUAGUGGCUUACCAAGGCUUUGACGGGUAGCCGGCCUGAGAGGGUGACCGGCCACAGUGGGACUGAGAUACGACCCAGACUCCAACGAGACGCAGGAGUGGGGAAUAGUGCACAAUGGGCGGAAGCCUAAUGCAGCAACGCCGCGUGCGGGAUGACAGCCUUCGGGUUGUAAACCGCUUUCGCCUGUGACGAAGCGUGAGUGACGGUAAUGGGUAAAGAAGCACCGGCUAACUACGUG